GAGCGGAGUGAUGGUGCUUGCACUAUCACUUAGCGGCGGACGGGUGAGUAAUGCUUAGGAAUCUGCCUAUUAGUGGGGGACAACAUUUCGAAAGGAAUGCUAAUACCGCAUACGUCCUACGGGAGAAAGCAGGGGAUCUUCGGACCUUGCGCUAAUAGAUGAGCCUAAGUCGGAUUAGCUAGUUGGUGGGGUAAAGGCCUACCAAGGCGACGAUCUGUAGCGGGUCUGAGAGGAUGAUCCGCCACACUGGGACUGAGACACGGCCCAGACUCCUACGGGAGGCAGCAGUGGGGAAUAUUGGACAAUGGGCGCAAGCCUGAUCCAGCCAUGCCGCGUGUGUGAAGAAGGCCUUAUGGUUGUAAAGCACUUUAAGCGAGGAGGAGGCUACUGAAGUUAAUACCUUCAGAUAGUGGACGUUACUCGCAGAAUAAGCACCGGCUAACUCUGUGCCAGCAGCCGCGGUAAUACAGAGGGUGCAAGCGUUAAUCGGAUUUACUGGGCGUAAAGCGCGCGUAGGCGGCUAAUUAAGUCAAAUGUGAAAUCCCCGAGCUUAACUUGGGAAUUGCAUUCGAUACUGGUUAGCUAGAGUGUGGGAGAGGAUGGUAGAAUUCCAGGUGUAGCGGUGAAAUGCGUAGAGAUCUGGAGGAAUACCGAUGGCGAAGGCAGCCAUCUGGCCUAACACUGACGCUGAGGUGCGAAAGCAUGGGGAGCAAACAGGAUUAGAUACCCUGGUAGUCCAUGCCGUAAACGAUGUCUACUAGCCGUUGGGGCCUUUGAGGCUUUAGUGGCGCAGCUAACGCGAUAAGUAGACCGCCUGG
rnacentral:rRNA from 1 species